rnacentral:rRNA from 1 species
UGGGGAAUUUUGGACAAUGGGGGCAACCCUGAUCCAGCAAUGCCGCGUGAGUGAAGAAGGCCUUCGGGUUGUAAAGCUCUUUUGUCAGGGAAGAAACGGUAGUAGCGAAUAACUAUUACUAAUGACGGUACCUGAAGAAUAAGCACCGGCUAACUACGUGCCAGCAGCCGCGGUAAUACGUAGGGUGCAAGCGUUAAUCGGAAUUACUGGGCGUAAAGCGUGCGCAGGCGGUUGUGUAAGUCAGAUGUGAAAUCCCCGGGCUCAACCUGGGAAUUGCAUUUGAGACUGCACGGCUAGAGUGUGUCAGAGGGGGGUAGAAUUCCACGUGUAGCAGUGAAAUGCGUAGAUAUGUGGAGGAAUACCGAUGGCGAAGGCAGCCCCCUGGGAUAACACUGACGCUCAUGCACGAAAGCGUGGGGAGCAAACAGGAUUAGAUACCCCCGUAGUCCCUGAGCGGGCUGGCAAG